UAUUUGUUCUUCGAUACUGCAGAGAUGGAUCGGGAGAAAUUUCUAUCACAAGAGUGAGGAGAAACUGCACUCGCACGAGACCGUUUGCGGGACAACUACGUCUGCCCCUGUCGUGAAGUACUCCGGUGACCACUACUUGGGUGGUGCGACCACGCCAAGUGUAAACAGACUAGUGAGCAUGAUACAAUUCUCACAACUCGAGGAUACCCUAUCUACAAGGGGUCAUAGUGCUUCUACCGCACUGAUUCCAAAUUCACAAUACAACAAUCGGGAACUCUACUAUCCCUAGAAUCAUGUCAUAAUGUGUCACUACACUAGAUUCGAUGCCACUCGUUCAAAUCAUUUAUUGUAAGUGUUCUAACAUGUUUACAUGCCACUCGUUCAUAUCAUAGUGCUUCUACUACACUAGUUCAAUGUCAA